GCCCCACCCAGUAUGGUGGUUAAUACACUCGGUUUGUUAUCGAGUGGGCUUGGGUUCGAAUCCCGAAUAAGGCA
rnacentral:tRNA from 1 species